rnacentral:rRNA from 1 species
GAUGAACGCUGGCGGCGUGCCUAAUACAUGCAAGUCGAGCGAACGGACGAGAAGCUUGCUUCUCUGAUGUUAGCGGCGGACGGGUGAGUAACACGUGGAUAACCUACCUAUAAGACUGGGAUAACUUCGGGAAACCGUAGCUAAUACCGGAUAAUAUUUUGAACCGCAUGGUUCAAAAGUGAAAGACGGUCUUGCUGUCACUUAUAGAUGGAUCCGCGCUGCAUUAGCUAGUUGGUAAGGUAACGGCUUACCAAGGCAACGAUGCAUAGCCGACCUGAGAGGGUGAUCGGCCACACUGGAACUGAGACACGGUCCAGACUCCUACGGGAGGCAGCAGUAGGGAAUCUUCCGCAAUGGGCGAAAGCCUGACGGAGCAACGCCGCGUGAGUGAUGAAGGUCUUCGGAUCGUAAAACUCUGUUAUUAGGGAAGAACAUAUGUGUAAGUAACUGUGCACAUCUUGACGGUACCGAAUCAGAAAGCCACGGCGAACUACGU